rnacentral:rRNA from 1 species
GUGCCAGCAGCCGCGGUAAUACGGAGGGAGCUAGCGUUAUUCGGAAUUACUGGGCGUAAAGCGCACGUAGGCGGCUUUGUAAGUAAGAGGUGAAAGCCCAGAGCUCAACUCUGGAAUUGCCUUUUAGACUGCAUCGCUUGAAUCAUGGAGAGGUCAGUGGAAUUCCGAGUGUAGAGGUGAAAUUCGUAGAUAUUCGGAAGAACACCAGUGGCGAAGGCGGCUGACUGGACAUGUAUUGACGCUGAGGUGCGAAAGCGUGGGGAGCAAACAGGAUUAGAAACCCUAGUAGUCC